AGAGUUUGAUUCUGGCUCAGAACGAACGCUGGCGGCGUGGAUAAGACAUGCAAGUCGGACGGGACAAUCAGUGUAGCAAUACAUUGGUUGUUCAGUGGCGAACGGGUGCGUAACACGUGGGCAACCUGCCGAGAAGUGGGGGAUAGUUCGCCGAAAGGCGAAUUAAUACCGCAUGUGGCCAGGGAGGACAUCCUCCUGAAGCCAAAGCCGGGGCAACCUGGCGCUUCUUGAUGGGCCCGCGGCCUAUCAGCUAGUUGGUGAGGUAACGGCUCACCAAGGCUAUGACGGGUAGCUGGUCUGAGAGGACGACCAGCCACACUGGGACUGAGACACGGCCCAGACACCUACGGGUGGCAGCAGUCGAGAAUUUUUCUCAAUGGGGGAAACCCUGAAGGAGCGACGCCGCGUGGAGGAUGAAGGUCUUCGGAUUGUAAACUCCUGUCAUUAGGGAACAAGUGCCGGCAAGUAACUACUGCCGGCUUGAUAGUACCUGAAGAGGAAGAGACGGCUAACUCUGUGCCAGCAGCCGCGGUAAUACAGAGGUCUCAAGCGUUGUUCGGAUUCAUUGGGCGUAAAGGGUGCGUAGGUGGCGAGGCAAGUUGGAUGUGAAAUCUCGGGGCUUAACCCCGAAACUGCAUUCAAUACUGCCCUGCUCGAGUACUGGAGAGGAGAUUGGAAUUCACGGUGUAGCAGUGAAAUGCGUAGAUAUCGUGAGGAACACCAGUGGCGAAGGCUGAUCUCUGGACAGUUACUGACACAGAGGCACGAAGGCCAGGGGAGCAAACGGGAUUAGAUACCCCGGUAGUCCUGGCAGUAAACGGUGCACGUUUGGUGUGGGCGGAUUCGACCCCGUCCGUGCCGAAGCUAACGCGUUAAACGUGCCGCCUGGGGAGUACGGUCGCAAGAUUAAAACUCAAAGAAAUUGACGGGGGCCCGCACAAGCGGUGGAGUAUGUGGCUUAAUUCGAUGCAACGCGAAGAACCUUACCAGGCCUUGACAUGCUGGGAUUAUCCGGAUGAAAGUCCGGGGAUUGCCGCAAGGUGUAACCAGCACAGGUGCUGCAUGGCUGUCGUCAGCUCGUGUCGUGAGAUGUUGGGUUAAGUCCCGCAACGAGCGCAACCCUUGUGAACUGUUGCCACCGGGCCGAGAGGCUCGAGCACUCUGUUCAGACUGCCCUGUGAAACGGGGAGGAAGGUGAGGAUGACGUCAAGUCAGGAUGGCCCUUACGGCCUGGGCUGCACACGUACUACAAUGCCCAGUACAGAACGAACCGAUACCGCGAGGUGGAGGAAAUCUCAAAAACUGGGCUCAAUUCGGAUUGGAGGCUGCAACUCGCCUCCAUGAAGCCGGAAUCGCUAGUAAUGGCGCAUCAGCUACGGCGCCGUGAAUACGUUCCCGGGCCUUGUACACACCGCCCGUCACAUCAUGGGAGUCACUUGUACCCGAAGUGCGUGCGCCAACCCGCAAGGGAGGCAGCGCCCUAGGGUAUGAGUGGUAACUGGGAUGAAGUCGUAACAAGGUA
rnacentral:rRNA from 1 species